rnacentral:rRNA from 1 species
UACGUAGGUGGCAAGCGUUGUCCGGAUUUACUGGGUGUAAAGGGCGUGUAGCCGGGCUGACAAGUCAGAUGUGAAAUUCCGGGGCUCAACCCCGGACCUGCAUUUGAAACUGUUGGUCUUGAGUAUCGGAGAGGCAGGCGGAAUGUGUAGUGUAGCGGUGAAAUGCAUAGAUAUUACACAGAACACCGAUUGCGAAGGCAGCUUGCUAGGCCGGAUCUGACACUGAUGCACGAAAGCGUGGGGAUCGAACAGG